AUUCCAGCUCCAAUAGCGUAUAUUAAAGUUGUUGCAGUUAAAAAGCUCGUAGUUGGAUUUCUGUUCUCGAGGAUCGGUCCGCCUCACGGUGAGCACUGGUUUUUCUUGGGGACAUCCUCUCGAAGGCGGGUGGUGCACUUAAUUGUGUGCUGCUUGGAUUCGGGACCUUUACUUUGAAAAAAUUAGAGUGUUCAAAGCAGGCGUCGGCUUGAAUACAUUAGCAUGGAAUAAUGGAAUAGGACUUUGGUUCUAUUUUGUUGGUUUCUAGGACCGAAGUAAUGAUUAAUAGGGACAGUUGGGGGCAUUAGUAUUUAAUUGUCAGAGGUGAAAUUCUUGGAUUUAUGAAAGACUAACUACUGCGAAAGCAUUUGCCAAGGAUGUUUUCAUCA
rnacentral:rRNA from 1 species